UCGCGGCUUAUCACCGGCAGUCCCCUUAGAGUGCCCAACUGAAUGAUGGCAACUAAGGGCGAGGGUUGCGCUCGUUGCGGGACUUAACCCAACAUCUCACGACACGAGCUGACGACAGCCAUGCAGCACCUGUGUUCCCGUUCCCUUUCGGGCACAGCCCCCUUUCAGGGGCCUCCAGGACAUGUCAAGGGUAGGUAAGGUUUUUCGCGUUGCAUCGAAUUAAUCCACAUAAUCCACCGCUUGUGCGGGUCCCCGUCAAUUCCUUUGAGUUUUAACCUUGCGGCCGUACUCCCCAGGCGGUCGACUUCACGCGUUAGCUUCGUUACUGAGAGUGUCAAACCCCCAACAACCAGUCGACAUCGUUUAGGGCGUGGACUAC
rnacentral:misc_RNA from 1 species